UACGUAGGGUGCGAGCGUUGUCCGGAAUUAUUGGGCGUAAAGAGCUCGUAGGCGGCCUGUUGCGUCCGCUGUGAAAUCCCGGGGCUCAACCCCGGGCCUGCAGUGGAUACGGGCUGGCUGGAGGCAGGCAGGGGAGAACGGAAUUCCUGGUGUAGCGGUGAAAUGCGCAGAUAUCAGGAGGAACACCGGUGGCGAAGGCGGUUCUCUGGGCCUGUUCUGACGCUGAGGAGCGAAAGCGUGGGGAGCGAACAGG
rnacentral:rRNA from 1 species